GACGAACGCUGGCGGCGUGCCUAAUACAUGCAAGUAGAACGCUGAAGGAGGAGCUUGCUCUUCUGGAUGAGUUGCGAACGGGUGAGUAACGCGUAGGUAACCUGCCUGGUAGCGGGGGAUAACUAUUGGAAACGAUAGCUAAUACCGCAUAACAGUAGAUGUUGCAUGACAUUUGCUUAAAAGGUGCAAUUGCACCACUACCAGAUGGACCUGCGUUGUAUUAGCUAGUUGGUGGGGUAACGGCUCACCAAGGCGACGAUACAUAGCCGACCUGGGAGGGUGAUCGGCCACACUGGGACUGAGACACGGCCCAGACUCCUACGGGAGGCAGCAGUAGGGAAUCUUCGGCAAUGGACGGAAGUCUGACCGAGCAACGCCGCGUGAGUGAAGAAGGUUUUCGGAUCGUAAAGCUCUGUUGUAAGAGAAGAACGAGUGUGAGAGUGGAAAGUUCACACUGUGACGGUAUCUUACCAGAAAGAGACGGCUAACUACGUG
rnacentral:rRNA from 1 species